UGGACUGCAGGCCUUCAGCAGUCUGGGGGGAUUUGGGUAUUUGUGAGAGUCAGAUACAAACCUGAAUGCCAAGAGUUGGAGAGGCUCUAAUGAAUGACAUCUCGAUGAAAAGCUCAGUGAAGCUUGUCACUGAUAAACAUGGAAGUGAUGCACCUGAGGAAAAAUAGCUCCCUACUUACAGCAGGUUAAACUGCAAAUUAACUGUUCCCUGGAGGUGAGAGUCUUGCUGUUCAAACUCAACAGAGGGUGGAAAGAUAAUUGUAAUAUUAGGUGUUAUUAGGAAACAAAUAGAAGAAGAAAACAAGAGCUAUUUUUGUAUCACAGGAUACAUCCAUGAUGUUGCCUUAUUUUGACCUCAGCAUGGAUUUUAGGAAAUAGCAAGAGGAGCAGAUACAAAGCUCAGCCUCUUUAUUUUCCUUUCUUCUGCUUUAUACUCCAAAUAACCAGCAAUGUGGAAUAGCCAGAAGAGGUUAAAUAGCCAAGAAUUCUUAAGCUCAAAGAAGAAAUAAUGACUGGAGAUAUAGGACUGGGCAACAACAAAAAAAAAAGAUAAAAUCAAAUAUGAUGUGGAAAGCGUAGAUAGGAAAUGACUGCUUCUCUCAGAGCUUUCUUAUAACAGGGAGCCCAGUGCAAUUACCAGGUAUGAGAAUUUAAAAUAAGCAAAAGGAAGUACAUUUUAACACAGCACGGAAUUAAACUGUGAAACUCCCCCACAAUCCUGGGAACAGCUCACUCUGAAUAUUUUGCUGCUUAACAGUAGCCUUUGCAUACCAGACAGCUCAAAUGCACAGCAGUGCAUGAGGGAGUAGUUGCAGUUCUCUGCUAAAGAACUGGUGUCUCCUUUCAAAUCUUGCCCCAGCCCCCUCACCGUCCCACUGUGCCCUUUGUUGGUGGCAGCACGUGUGCUCUCCAGGGUGCACAUGCAGCAGGAGCAGCUUUACUGGGAGCCUAAUUCCUCAGUUACCCAGCAGUGUCCCAGACACCACUAUGCUUCAGGAUUAGCUGGGUUUAAAGGGUCAUGUCCCUGGCUCACAAUCCUGGAGUGGCAGACUGGCCAGGCCCAGGCUCCCUCAUGGGGCAGGCAGAGGGCUUACACCCCCACUGCCAAAGCACUCUACAUCCUACAGAAGUAUUUCCUUGCAUCUGCUUGGGUGGCAACAUGGGUCUAUUCUCAUUUCUUCCAUAAUUUUGGUACAUAUUUUCCAGAGCUCACUGUAUUCCCAUUCAUGUCCUUCCUGCUUCUGUUCUAGCUCUAAUUUCCCUUUACCUCUCUCCUUUCUCCCAGCCUCCACGUGCCUCCCAACCCCUGUAUAAAUAAUUUGUAUUCUUUUCAAAAAUAGCCCAAGUCCCCUCUGUAUAAUCUGCUACACUCAGAUUGCAUUUCCAAAAAUACUGAACAAAUGCCACAGACAGACAGACAUGCCGUGGCAGCAGAUCUUGCUCCCACUUUGACCCUGGGUAGAGUUCCAGCUCCUGCUGGCUGGAGAUGGCUUCAGUUCAGUGGUCACACGUAUCCCCUUGAGCAGUUUGGGUCACAUGAAACCGGGCUGGGGAGAAACCUCCUUAUCCAGCUUUUCUGCUGCUCACUGCCUGGUGCACCACACGCGUCUGUCAGGGCAGCUCAGCUCUUCCUUUAAUGCCGUUUUCCCUGCGGCUUCCUCGGAGUGCCAGGGAGGGAGCUGUGAGAUGGAUGUCCAGCCGCAGGGGUCAGGGAGCUGUGAGAUGGAUGUCCAGCCGCAGGGAUCAGCGAGGGGGCAGCGGGAGCAGCCGGCCCGCUCCCCUUCCCGCUGAGUGCCGGGCUCGGGGCAGUCUGAGCGCUGAGAACAGCAGUUCAGAGCCCCAGGAAGUGGCGACACUGAGCUCAGCCCCUGCACCAGCACAUGCUGCUUGUUCUGAGCCUGCCCAAGGAUGCGUGAGGCCUUCAGCAUGGUCAGGAAAGCCAGGCUUUAAACAGGGCUCCCGAAACUUAAUUGCAUAUGGAAGUGACACAAAGAGCUGCUCCCAGAAAUGUAUACUGCUGUGCUGUAAGUCCAGCUCUGUGUUAAUUAUUAAGGAGUGGUAUUUUUAGUCAGUAUUUGCAAUAGAUUCCACGUGUCUGAAACCUCGUUCCCGUGAAAGUUCAUCACAAUGUCAAGUAUUUAAUUAAUUUUAAUCUUUAUUUUAAAGGUGUUACUGCAGCUAGUAGAAAUGUUCCUAAAAACCCCUUUGAUUCCUUUCCGGCCCCCUCGCCAUGGGGAAGGCUAAACAAUGGUAUAUGAGUUUUAUCCAUGCUUUCUAACAUCACAGAGUGGCAAGUUUGCCCAGAAUAUGAAUAAAAAUCCUUAGAAGGGAGGAGGCAGGAACAGUUGGUUUACAAGAAGAUGGAGAUUCUUUCAAAGAAAUGUAUAAAUGUCUUAAGUUCAACAAAUAAUCUGCAAUUCUGCCAGGAAAAAAAUGAAUACUUUUAAAAACAAAUUAAAAAAUAAUUGCAACAGUUGCAAUCUUUCUUACAAAAGAAAUUAAAAUCCUUAAACAGUUGGCAGCUCUUGGUAUUAUUUACCUAAAUUCAUAGACUAAUUUACAUGUAAGAGUACAUUACCAUGACAACUUUUAAAUCUUGCUGAAUUCUCUUCUUACUAACUCUGAGUGCACUUUGAGUUGGACUGUGACAACGUGGACUAGGCUUAAAGCAUAUUACCCUCAAAAUCUUGUUUAUGAAGAGAGAGAAAACAAAUCAUAUAUACAAAGCCAAGAAUUUAUUGUUAGUAUGGUUGAAAUCUCACGUUUAAUCUAAGAAUCCUUAUUAGCCUAGACUUAAUUAUUACAGAAGAAGAAAAAACGCUUUUAUAUGCAAAGAAUUGAAAUAAUAAUAAUAUAACAAUAACACAGCUAAAACUGAAUACUCACAAUUCCUAGAUUCUUGCCCCUUUCCUGGUGCUGCACUCAUCCUGCCACUGCUCCUCGAGGUCCUCAGCUUGCUGCCUUCAGUGCAGAGGUGGGGGUCUGCUAAGGCUGGUCACCAGCAUGUGGGGUCUUUUGGCUGGGAGGGAUGUGAAGAUGGCUGCAUCUUUCUCACUCCAUGAUUCACUUGGGGUCUUUUUUAUGUUUGCCAACAGGCUUUCACACCUUGCUGCUUCCUCACUGGUUUGCAACCCACAUGAUAUCCAAAUUUACCAUACGUGAUGCAUCUUGCACAUGCUAGAAACUUGUUCUUUGUUCUGCUAUCCAUGAAAAGGUGGUUUUAUCUAACUCCUGGUCUGUAUUUUUUAAUGGAAAACAAUUAUUGUUUUGUUCAUAGAUGUGGGGUCUCCAGUGGCAAACCCCCAUCUUUUGUCAUCUUCUGCCUGUGUUCUUCCUCACUGUAUCCUGUGUCUACACCUUUCCAGGCCUCUGCUAUCACCCCAGGAGCCAUGCCCGGUUUUCACUGGAAGCAUCGAGAGGCUGGGAAUCUCUCCGUGGCUACAGCUGAACUUUGUAUCGGGGGUGGGAAGCAGUAGUCCUGAUGUGCCUUCAGCCAGGAGGGGCCGAGGCACAGCUUGGCAGGCAGGAGACAGUGGUUUGUGCUUGGCCAGAGGCCUCUCAAGCAACUUGGACCAAGAGUCCUUUGACGUUCCCCAACCUGGGGUGCUCCAGAAAGUCCAUCCAAGUUAAAGAAAGGCAAGGCUGCACCAGCUAGAACUUCAUUAAACCUGCAGCACGGCUGCUAA